rnacentral:rRNA from 1 species
UCAGCAGCCGCGGUAAUACAGAGACUGCAAGCGUUAUUCGGAUUCACUGGGCGUAAAGGGUGCGCAGGCGGCCAAGUGUGUGGGGCGUGAAAGCCUGGAGCUUAACUCCAGAAUUGCGCCUCAAACUACAUGGCUAGAGCAUUGGAGAGGGUAGCGGAAUUCACGGUGUAGCAGUGAAAUGCGUAGAUAUCGUGAGGAACACCAGAGGCGAAGGCGGCUACCUGGACAAUUGCUGACGCUCAGGCACGAAAGCGUGGGGAGCAAAAGGGAUUAGAUACCCCUGUAGUCCACGCCCUAAACGGUGCACACUAGGUCUUGGCGGAUUCGACCCCACCAGGGCCCCAGCUAACGCGUUAAGUGUGCCGCCUGAGGACUACGGCCGCAAGGCUAAAACUCAAAGGAAUUGACGGGGGCCCGCACAAGC